AAUGAACGCUGGCGGCAGGCUUAACACAUGCAAGUCGAGCGGAGAUGAGGUGCUUGCACCUUAUCUUAGCGGCGGACGGGUGAGUAAUGCUUAGGAAUCUGCCUAUUAGUGGGGGACAACAUUCCGAAAGGAAUGCUAAUACCGCAUACGCCCUACGGGGGAAAGCAGGGGAUCUUCGGACCUUGCGCUAAUAGAUGAGCCUAAGUCGGAUUAGCUAGUUGGUGGGGUAAAGGCUUACCAAGGCGACGAUCUGUAGCGGGUCUGAGAGGAUGGUCCGCCACACUGGGACUGAGACUCGGCCCAGACUCCUACGGGAGGCAGCAGUGGGGAAUAUUGGACAAUGGGCGGAAGCCUGAUCCAGCCAUGCCGCGUGUGUGAAGAAGGCCUUUUGGUUGUAAAGCACUUUAAGCGAGGAGGAGGCUACCUGGAUUAAUACUCUAGGAUAGUGGACGUUACUCGCAGAAUAAGCACCGGCUAACUCUGUGCCAGCCGCCGCAGUAAUAC
rnacentral:rRNA from 1 species